rnacentral:rRNA from 1 species
GUCUACGUCCGUGCUACCCUGAACAAGCCCGAUCCCAUCUGAUCUCGGAAGCUAAGCAGGGUCGGGCCUGAUGGGAGACCACCUAGGAAGACCAGGUGCUGUAGGUG